ensembl:lncRNA
GGGGGGAGAUGGGGUUGUUUGAGGUGAGAUCGGGCUGCCUUGCGUGUCGGCAUGGCAACAGUGUUCCCCCGCUGCUGUCGUCGGGGGCCGUCCUUAAUCUGUCACCUUUCAGUCGUCAUUCUCACAUCACUUCCCAGUUCACUGUGGUGGUGAGAUGCCUUUAGACUGGGCGGACUGGUUUAAUAGGACAACACUGUGGGCGUCAUGGUCAGCAAGACCUGUUGUCGGGGGCCACGGCGGGGGGAGGAGGGGUCAGAGGUCACCUCGGCCGUGACUCCGUACAGAGUGGAGAGAGCGGAGGAACACCGUCAGCUGGAGGAGGCUUCACCCGACCGGGAGGACGCAGGGUUAGGAACAUGCAUGACGGGAGGGACGUAGACACCGUCCAGCACGGAGGGUCUGGGAAAACUAUACUGUGAAUGGAAGAGCGGUUAAAUGUUGUUUAUUUUCUGGAUGAUGAAUCACCAGGAGUUUAUCAUUAGUAUUGUAAUUAUUAUUAUUUAUUCGUCAUGAUCUAUGGUGUUUUUCUAUGUGUCGUGUAGAUGUGAGCCAUAUGCUUCCUGUGUACGCUUGGAGAAAGGGUGAAGUAUUAAAAGGCUGCACCACCCGUUUCUAUAGAGCUACACCCACUAAGGCUUUAUCCAGGUUCACUUUAUCUACUCUGUUUCAAUACUAACUUCCAGGAGGGACAAGCCAUGGGUUUGUAAAGAAAUACACUUUGUAGUGAUGUGUGUUGUUGUUGCUGUUGUUUAACACAAUGUGUGUGUCUGCGUGAGGCGAUGAACUCCAUAACCUUAUGCAUUCAUACUGACGUGAAGGAUGACUUUACCGUCCGUCUGUUUCUACCGUGUUUAUCCCGCACGUGCGAGUGCACCCUGUCUCUUUGUCUCACUGCCUGAUGUGUUCCACUGACCGCUUGUGUUUCAUGGACCAGACAAUGUCUCCUCAAAGCAGAGAGAACCUCUCUGGUCAAAGUGGGAACAAUAAAAACCUUUUGAAGAUC